GUUUUAAUAAUUUAGGAAAAAUAUUGGUCUUGUAAGCCAAAAACGAGGUAAACUCUUAAAACU
rnacentral:tRNA from 1 species